CACGUAGGGGGCAAGCGUUGUCCGGAUUUAUUGGGCGUAAAGGGUGCGUAGGCGGGUUUUUAAGUCAGGGGUGAAAUCCUGGAGCUCAACUCCAGAACUGCCUUUGAUACUGAAGAUCUCGAGUCCGGGAGAGGUGAGUGGAACUGCGAGUGUAGAGGUGAAAUUCGUAGAUAUUCGCAAGAACACCAGUGGCGAAGGCGGCUCACUGGCCCGGUACUGACGCUGAGGCACGAAAGCGUGGGGAGCAAACAGG
rnacentral:rRNA from 1 species